AUUUGCUCUUCUUGGCAUUUUAACUUCCCCUUCCCCUCUUAGCACGUCUGCCAUCUCUUCCUGCUCUGGGUGUCACUUAGCUCUGAAAACAUAGGCAUCGGAGUGUAGCAGACUGACUCAGAGUCCUCCCAAGAUGCAGAUUCUACUGAAAUCCAAACCCAAGGGGUCUACAAAAUGGAUAAGAAAACUGAAGCCCAGAAAAUUUAUUUCCUUCACCUGGUCACACACAGAUCUCCUGGUAUAUUCAGAACUAGAACUCAGAUACUUGAUUCCCAUUCAGAAAGAACCUGGUCAGCUGGUUCGGGGUUAAAGAGGACAG
rnacentral:lncRNA from 10 species